rnacentral:rRNA from 1 species
ACGCUAGCGGCAGUCUUAAUACAUGCAAGUCGAGGGGCAGCAGGACUGUAGCAAUACAGUUGCUGGCGACCGGCAAACGGGUGCGGAACACGUACGCAACCUUCCUUUAAGUGAGGGAUAGCCCAGGGAAACUUGGAUUAAUACCUCGUAAUAUUUGAGAGUGGCAUCACUUUCUGAUUAUAGCUCCGGCGCUUAAAGAUGGGCGUGCGACUGAUUAGGUAGUUGGCGGGGUAACGGCCCACCAAGCCUGCGAUCAGUAACUGGUGUGAGAGCACGACCAGUCACACGGGCACUGAGACACGGGCCCGACUCCUACGGGAGGCAGCAGUAAGGAAUAUUGGUCAAUGGACGCAAGUCUGAACCAGCCAUGCCGCGUGGAGGAUGAAGGUCCUCUGGAUUGUAAACUUCUUUUAUCUGGGAAGAAACCCAUAUUUUCUAGUGUGGUUGACGGUACCAGAUGAAUAAGCACCGGCUAACUCCGUGCCAGCAGCCGCGUAAUACGAGGGUGCAAGCGUUAUCGAUUCACUGGUUAAAGGGUGCGUAGCGGUGUAGUCCUGUGGUGAAUCUCCGAGCUUACUCGGAACUGCCGGAUACUAUCAUCUUGAAUAUCGGGAGUAAGCGGAUAUGUCAUGUAGCGGGAAAUGCUAAAUUGACAUAGACCCCAUUGGUAGCAGCUCUACCGUCAUACGUAGGCACGAAAGCGUGGAGCAACAGAUUAGAACCCUGAGUCACGCCUAACGAUGGAUACUCGACAUCAGCGAUACACUGUUGGUGUCGAGCGAAGCAUUAAGUAUCCCACCUGGGAAGUACGAUCGCAAGAUGAAACUCAAAGGAAUUGGCGGGGGUCCGCACAAGCGGUGGAGCAUGUGGUUUAAUUCGAUGAUACGCGAGGAACCUUACCUGGGCUAGAAUGCUGGAAGACCGAGGGUGAAAGCUCUCUUUAUAGCAAUAUACUUCCAGUAAGGUGCUGCAUGGCUGUCGUCAGCUCGUGCCGUGAGGUGUUGGGUUAAGUCCCGCAACGAGCGCAACCCCCAUCACUAGUUGCCAUCAGGUAAUGCUGGGAACUCUAGUGAAACUGCCGUCGCAAGACGUGAGGAAGGAGGGGAUGAUGUCAAGUCAUCAUGGCCUUUAUGCCCAGGGCUACACACGUGCUACAAUGGGGAGGACAAAGGGCUGCCACUUAGUGAUAAGGAGCUAAUCCCAAAAACCUCUUCUCAGUUCAGAUUGGAGUCUGCAACUCGACUCCAUGAAGCUGGAAUCGCUAGUAAUCGUAUAUCAGCAAUGAUACGGUGAAUACGUUCCCGGACCUUGCACACACCGCCCGUCAAGCCAUGGAAGCCGGGUGUACCUAAAGUCGGUAACCGUAAGGAGCCGCCUAGGGUAAAACUGG